rnacentral:lncRNA from 13 species
CUGCCUUCUAAAUCAUUAUAGAUUUUUUUAUAAAAGAAAAAAACAUGUGGACGGAAAGAAUGUGACCGAAGAGCCAGGGGUUUGAUGUUGGUCCUGUUGCUCGCUGCACAGAAAGCCAAUCACUGAGACAGUGAAUGCUGCGGGGAAGAAGGAAGCCUUCGCGCGGGUGCUGCCGCCAAGGAGACAGGAGCUCAGUCUCAAAGCCGGCUCCUCAGCUGGCUAAAUGUGGGGGUUUAUAGAGCAGGGAAGAAAAGCAACUACAUGUAGAAAAACAGAAAUAGGGGCACAGAGAAGAGGAGGUCAACAGGAAGGGGUCUCCCUUCGGCAGUCAUGAUGGAUGGUGCUGCUCAGGCCUCUCCUUGUCCAGAUGCAGUGACCUGGUACCGAGAGAAUUUGGGGCCUUCGCCACCUCUCAGUUGCCGGCAUAGAAAAGGACUCAUCAUUCAAUCUCAGAGUGUGACGCGUUCCUUGACUCACUCAGGUCCGACACCCUCAGUCCCAGGACCUCAGAAUGUGACCGUGUUUGGUGACAGGGCCUUGAAAGGGGUGACUAAUACAAAGGGAGGUCACAUGGGUGGCCCUAAUCCAAUCUGACCGGUGUCCUCAUAGAAGAGACGAUGUGGACACAGACACACACAGAGGGGCGGCCCUGUGAGGAGACAUGCAGAAGAUGGCGCGUGCCAGCCAGGGAGACAGAAACCAUCCCUGACAACCCCUUCACCUCAGACUCCAGCCUCCAGAGCUGCGGGAAAGUACGUUUCUGUUGACACUCCCAGUCUGUUGACGCCAGUGUCUGUGGCGCUGGAUUACACAACAGUCCCCACACGCCAGCCAGGAAGCGAGAGCAAGACACUCCGGACAGGUCAAGGGCGUGCUCACUUCCUACCACCCACCUGAAAACUCCGCCUAAAUGUGGGAAGUGGAAAGUUUCUUUUUAAAGUUUCCUUUCUUGUUAAAGAAUAAGUCUGCUAAUAACUUUGUGAAGCCCUAUCCUAUGUAGCUGUGAGACACGCCGUGCUUACAGGCACGUGGUACAUUCUAUGUCCUUGUACUUUCACCAAGAUACCUGUGCUGGACGUGCUCACAGGCAUGGCCCAGCUCGCCAUUGCUUUUACGUGUUUAGAAAGUUUUAAGUUAUUAACCAAUCGGGUUUUAGUUUAGACUGUGAGGUCUGGCUCCAGCCAACGGAGAUCAGACACAGCAGUAAGGACGGCCCCAAAUGCGUAAGGGAUAAAUUUGUGUGUUUUCCUUUGCUCAUUGUACUCUUACGGCAUGAUGGCUAGUGAGGGUCCCCUUCCUGCAGCCCAGGAAGUAAAAAUUGCGUUGCUGAAAGAUCCUUUGUCUCAGUGCUGAUUCUUCCUUGUGGGACCAAGCAUCUGUUUCCAGCACUAAAGACGAG